rnacentral:sRNA from 1 species
GUUAUAACUGAAAAUGAAUUGCGUUUGGUUGUAAUUGUGCAAACGAUUAGAGUAAUUUGUAAAGAGGGCCAUUUUAAAAAUUUCCUAAGGAAAGAUAUAUUUUAUAUUUAAAGGAGAUUUGCAAAACUACCUUUUUUUUACUAUCCUUUUGUAACAAUACCCUUUUAUGUUGUCCAUUUUUAAAAAUACCCCUUCCCUUAAACAAAAUGACCAAAUUACCCUCAUCUAAUAGAAACAUGCAAUUGGAAACUAAACUUUUCCCGCCAAUUUUUUUGCGCCAAUUUUUUUUUUCCCCGCUAAAACAAAGUUUCCCGCCAAAAAACAAAUUCCCGCCAAUUUUGUUUUUCGUAACAAAUUUUUCCUCAGCCAAAAAAAUGAUUUUAAAAAUCCUUGUAAAUAUUUUUUGGCGGCAAAUUGAUUUACAAGGGAUUUUAAAAGGAUUUUAAAAGAUUUACAAGAGAUUUUAAAAAGGUUUUAAAAGAUUUACAAGAGAUUUUAAAAGAGUUUUAAAAGAUUUACAAGAGAUUUUAAAAGGGUUUUAAAAAAUUUACAAGUAAUUUUAAAAGGUUUUGAAAUCCCUUGUAAAUCUUUCAAAACACUUUUAAACCCUUUAAAAAUCUUUACAAAUCUUUUGUAAAUCUUUUAAAGCCCUUUAAAAUCCCUUGUAAAUAUUGUAAAACCUUUUUAAAAUCCCUUGUAAAUAUUUUAAAAUCCUUUUAAAACAAUUUUAAACCCUUUAAAAAUCUUUAAAAGACCUUUGUAAAUCUUUUAAAUCCCUUUAAAAUCUCUUGUAAAUCUUUUAAAACCCUUUUAAAAUCUCUUGUAAAUCACCCUUUUAAAAUCCCUUGUAAAUCUUAUAAAACCCCUUUAAAAUCCCUUGUAAAUCUAUUUCCCGCCAAAAAAAUA